GUAAAAUUAAGGGCUUAAUGAAGGCCUCAGGCUUAAGUAAAAUUUAAGUGGGGCAUAAGCACUCUGAAAGUCUGGCUCAUUUCUUGAGACACAUUGUCUUAAAUCACUACUUCUCUUCUAAUUUUAACCAAAAGACUACCUCACCUAUUUGAAACGCAAUCCAAGGCCCAUGUUGUUCUUAGUUGUGACAUUGGCUUUCAUUCAAAACCGAGUAAAUAAACUCAACUCAGUGUUUAUUGUAUUUUUUUUAUUAUUAUUUUUCUGCGUUCUGCUUGCAUGUGUGGGAAUGUGUGUAUUUACAUUUCUUUAUUUAUUUUGUGAUGACUUUGUGUUUCCACAGCUUUCAGACUCAAACUUGAAUGUUUCCAUUAUAGUCACACACUAUUCAGGGAGUAGGCAAACUUUUGCUCCCCUGUUCAAAGGAGGUUUUGGAAAUCUUUUACCAUUAACAGAUCUAACUUUUAACCUAAAGAAAGAUGAAAUUGUGUCAAGAUGA
rnacentral:lncRNA from 1 species